UUUUGUCUUAGAAUUUAGUACAAUAUGUAUUUAAAUAAUUUGCACAAUUAUUAAACAAAAGCAGUACCUCAUAUUUAUGUAUUUUUUCAUGAAGAGUAUUUAUUGUAGAGGUUG